GGAGGCAUGGCCGAGCUGGUAAGGCAGCGCGUUGCUACCGCGUAAACGACGUCACAGCCGUUCGCAGGUUCGAGUCCUGCUGCCUCCG
rnacentral:tRNA from 1 species